UACGUAGGGUGCAAGCGUUGUCCGGAAUUAUUGGGCGUAAAGAGCUCGUAGGCGGUCUGUUGCGUCAGGAGUGAAAACUCGGGGCUUAACCCCGAGCCUGCUUCUGAUACGGGCAGACUAGAGGUAUGCAGGGGAGAACGGAAUUCCUGGUGUAGCGGUGAAAUGCGCAGAUAUCAGGAAGAACACCCGUGGCGAAGGCGGCUCUCUGGGACGGUACUGACGCUGAGACGCGAAAGCGUGGGGAGCGAACAGG
rnacentral:rRNA from 1 species